rnacentral:rRNA from 1 species
GCUCAGAACGAACGCGGGCGGCGUGCCUAACACAUGCAAGUCGAACGGAGAUAAGGGGCUUGCUCCUUAUUUUAGUGGCGCACGGGUGAGUAACGCGUGGAUAAUCUACCUUGGAAUCUGGGAUAACAUCUCGAAAGGGGUGCUAAUACCGGAUAAGACCACGAGCUCUUUGGAGCUUGCGGUAAAAGGGGGCCUCUGUAUAUGCUUCUGUUUCAAGAUGAGUCCGCGUACCAUUAGCUAGUUGGCAGGGUAAUGGCCUACCAAGGCGACGAUGGUUAGCUGGUCUGAGAGGAUGAUCAGCCACACUGGAACUGAGACACGGUCCAGACUCCUACGGGAGGCAGCAGUGGGGAAUUUUGCGCAAUGGGGGAAACCCUGACGCAGCAACGCCGCGUGAGUGAUGAAGGCCUUCGGGUCGUAAAGCUCUGUCAGAGGGAAAGAAAUGUGGGAGGGUUAAUACCCCUUUCACUUGACGGUACCCUCAAAGGAAGCACCGGCUAACUCCGUGCCAGCAGCCGCGGUAAUACGGAGGGUGCAAGCGUUGUUCGGAAUUAUUGGGCGUAAAGCGCGUGUAGGCGGUUUUUUAAGUCUGAUGUGAAAGCCCCGGGCUCAACCUGGGAAGUGCAUUGGAUACUGGAAGACUUGAGUACGGGAGAGGGCAGUGGAAUUCCUAGUGUAGGAGUGAAAUCCGUAGAUAUUAGGAGGAACACCGGUGGCGAAGGCGGCUGCCUGGACCGAUACUGACGCUGAGACGCGAAAGCGUGGGGAGCAAACAGGAUUAGAUACCCUGGUAGUCCACGCCGUAAACGAUGAGUACUAGGUGUUGCGGGUAUUGACCCCUGCAGUGCCGGAGCUAACGCAUUAAGUACUCCGCCUGGGAAGUACGGUCGCAAGACUAAAACUCAAAU